GUAGGUGAACCUGCGGAAGGAUCAUUACCGAUUUUUAGCGGACCUGAUCUUUGAUCAUGGUCUCGCGAAAACUUGUAUUUAAAACCCCACUCUUAUAAAUUGAAUCAUUUUAUAUUAUGUAUAUAAUAAAUAAAAGAUCACUUUCAACAACGGAUCUCUUGGCUCUC
rnacentral:misc_RNA from 1 species